AGCAGGGACGCUUGCUCAGGACUGUCACCAGGACACAAGGCAUUAUGGACAGGAGAUGGUGAAGAUGUUGCUGAGCCAUCAAAAAUUUAAAAUGCUUCUGGAACAAUCUCUUUCCACACGUGACCUGGAAGAUAUUCUGACAAGAAUUAAGAAGGAAGGGAUGGAAAACCAGAAGGGUGAACGUCCAUCUGUCAAGGAGCCGGUGGAGAAGAGGAACGAUGGCUCCAAGAAGCCCCAGGCCACAUUGCCUUCUAGCAAACGGUACUGAGCACUUUUGUCAGAUGUGACAAAGCCCAUGACAAGCUUCACAUGCCUCUUCCUCAGGCAAAUCUUUCUGGCAGAGAUGAACAGUGCCCGAGAUUGUUUCCUUUCCCUAGGAUAAAAAAUGUCUACUUCUGCAUUAUGCUGAACACAACUUCUCUGGAGGGCUUUCCACAAAAAAUGGAGAGACAAAAAGACAUCCAUUGGUGGCAGCUCAGAUGAUCCAGUGC